rnacentral:rRNA from 1 species
AACGAACGCUGGCGGCAGGCUUAACACAUGCAAGUCGAGCGCCCCGCAAGGGGAGCGGCAGACGGGUGAGUAACGCGUGGGAAUCUACCCAUCUCUACGGAAUAACGCAUGGAAACGUGUGCUAAUACCGUAUACGUCCUUCGGGAGAAAGAUUUAUCGGAGAUGGAUGAGCCCGCGUUGGAUUAGCUAGUUGGUGGGGUAAAGGCCUACCAAGGCGACGAUCCAUAGCUGGUCUGAGAGGAUGAUCAUCCACACUGGGACUGAGACACGGCCCAGACUCCUACGGGAGGCAGCAGUGGGGAAUAUUGGACAAUGGGCGCAAGCCUGAUCCAGCCAUGCCGCGUGAGUGAUGAAGGCCCUAGGGUUGUAAAGCUCUUUCACCGGUGAAGAUAAUGACGGUUACCGGAGGAGAAGCCCCGGCUAACUUCGUGCCAGCCGCCGCCGUAACAC